rnacentral:rRNA from 1 species
GACGAACCGUGCGAACGUUGUUCGGAAUCACUGGGCUUAAAGGGCGCGUAGGCGGCUUGCCAAGUCAGGGGUGAAAUCCUGCAGCUUAACUGUAGAAGGGCCUUUGAUACUGGCGAGCUCGAGGGAGGUAGGGGUAUGUGGAACUCACAGUGGAGCGGUGAAAUGCGUUGAUAUUGUGAGGAACGCCGGAGGCGAAAGCGGCGCACUGGAUCUCUUCUGACGCUGAGGCGCGAAAGCUAGGGGAGCAAACGGG